UCUCAUCAUGUAUUUAUAGGUUACAAGUCCAAUUUCUAGCUUAGGAGCAAACCCAAUCCAAUUUGGAGUUAAAAAAGUGUCAAAAUUCGCCCAAAAAUGUGUCCCAACUUGACCAGGCCCGAGCCCAGUGCCCCAGCGCUGCUCACGGUGCUGGAACACUUCCCCCUAGCGCCCCGACGCUGGAAAUAGGCUAGGAAUGGGCGCCCCGACGCUGUCCUAUUUUUUAAAAAUUUUCUACUCUGACGUCCUUUGGGAAAAUGGCCA
rnacentral:lncRNA from 1 species